rnacentral:rRNA from 1 species
UGUCAUACUUCCAAGAAAAGCUCGCAAUGUCAUAAACAAAUAAUGCCUGUACCAUAACCGACACAGGUGGGUAGGUAGAGUAUACUAAGGGGCGCGAGAUAACUCUCUCUAAGGAACUCGGCAAAAUGACUCCGUAACUUCGGGAGAAGGAGUGCCUUAUUUAUAAGGUUGCAAUAACAAGAUCCAAGCAACUGUUUAUCAAAAACACAGGUCUCCGCUAAGUCGUAAGACGAUGUAUGGGGGCUGACGCCUGCCCAGUGCCAGAAGGUUAAAGAAGUUGGUUAGCAUUCGCGAAGCUGAUAACUGAAGCCCUGGUGAACGGCGGCCGUAACUAUAACGGUCCUAAGGUAGCGAAAUUCCUUGUCGGGUAAGUUCCGACCCGCACGAAAGGCGUAAUGAUUUGGAUACUGUCUCGGAGAGGGGCUCGGUGAAAUAGACUUGUCUGUGAAGAUGCGGACUACCUGCACCUGGACAGAAAGACCCUAUGAAGCUUUACUGUAACUUGAAAUUGAAAUUGGACUUUAUUUGCGCAGCAUAGGUGGGAGGCGUUGAGAGUAUUCUUGCGGGAAUAUUGGAGCCAUCAGUGAGAUACCACUCUUGUAAUGUUAGAUUUCUAACUUUGGAUCAUUAUCUGGUCAAAGAACAGUUUCAGGCGGGCAGUUUGACUGGGGCGGUCGCCUCCCAAAUGGUAACGGAGGCGUACAAAGGUUUCCUCUGAACGGGUAGAAAUCGUAUCUAGAGUGUAAAGGCAUAAGGAAGCUUGACUGUGAGACCUACAAGUCGAGCAGGGACGAAAGUCGGUCUUAGUGAUCUGACGGUGCUGAGUGGAAAGGCCGUCACUCAACGGAUAAAAGUUACUCUAAGGAUAACAGGCUGAUCUCCCCCAAGAGUUCACAUCGACGGGGAGGUUUGGCACCUCGAUGUCGGCUCAUCGCAUCCUGGGGCGGUAGUACGUCCCAAGGGUUGGGCUGUUCGCCCAUGAAAGCGGUACGCGAGCUGGGUUCAGAACGUCGUGAGACAGUUCGGUCCAUAUCCGGUGUAGGCGUUAGAAUAUUGAGAGGAGCCUUCUUUAGUACGAGAGGACCGAGAAGGACAUACCUCUGGUGUACCAGUUAUCGUGCCAACGGUAAACGCUGGGUAGCUAUGUAUGGAGAGGAUAACCGCUGAAAGCAUCUAAGUGGGAAGCCCACCUCAAGAUAAG